rnacentral:rRNA from 1 species
CACGGGGGGAGCAAGCGUUGUUCGGAAUCACUGGGCGUAAAGCGCGUGUAGGCGGCCAAGUAAGUGGGAUGUGAAAUCCCCCGGCUUACCCGGGGACCUGCAUCUCAUACUGCUUGGCUUGAGUAUGGGAGAGGAUGAGGGAAUUCCUGGUGUAGCGGUGAAAUGCGUAGAUAUCAGGAGGAACACCAAUUGCGAAGGCAGUUGGCUACACAAAUAUUGACACUGAGGCUCGAAAGCGUGGGGAUCAAACAGG